rnacentral:sRNA from 1 species
AUUUUCCGGUUAGCCUUCGGGGUGUCCGCGUGAGAACUGGUUAUAUCCUGGAGCGAGUGCUGGGAGGUGCUAGUCCGCCGCGCCUUAUUCGAGAGGCGUCAGAGCUGGGAGACUAGGAUGUCGGACACGUGGAGCUCUAUCCAGGCCCACAAGAAGCAGCUGGACUCUCUGCGGGAGAGGCUGCAGCGGAGGCGGAAGCAGGACUCGGGGCACUUGGGCUGGAGUUCAGUGGCAUGAACACAGCUCACUGCAGUCUCGACCUCAGGGCUCAAGUGAUCCUCCUGCCUCAGCCUCCUCCUGAGUGGCUAGCACCACAGGUGUGCCCUACCAUGCCUGCCUAAUUUUUAAUUUUUGUUUUUUUGUAGAAACAGGGCCUUGCCAUGGUGCCCAGGCUGGUCUUGGACUCUUGGGCUCAAGCUAUCCUCCCACCCUGGACUCCCAAAGUGCUGGGAUUACAGAUGUAAUCCCAGCCUAGUUAAGACUCUUAUAAAAGUAUUUUGGGGGUUGUAAUUAAAUGUAUCUUGUCUUCUGACCGAGAGCUUGAUCUGAUCCAUCAUUUGGUACUGUGGUAAUAGGUAAAGAUGAAACGUACCAAUUAAACCAGAAUGUCACUGUUCUUUCUGUGUUAUUUUGAUUAUUUCAAAGAAUGUAUUUUGUUGAGCUUUAGGAUUCUUAAGAAACCCUUGUGAAACACUGUAUUGUAAGUUUAUGAAUCAUGUUAUCAUGUAAGAUAUAACUCAAGACUUGAUAAAAGUUCAGAUUAUUCCAUUCGUUUCUCACCGGAAAUAAAAAUUUGCCUACC